rnacentral:tRNA from 1 species
UCCCUGGUGGUCUAGUGGCUAAGACUUCACAAUCCCAAUGCAAGGAGUCUAGGUUCAAUCCCUAAUCGGGGAA